UACGUAGGUGGCGAGCGUUAUCCGGAUUUAUUGGGCGUAAAGCGUCCGCAGCCGGUUUAUUAAGUCUAAGAUUAAAGCCCGAAGCUUAACUUCGGUUCGUUUUAGAAACUGGUAGACUCGAGUGUGGUAGAGGCAAGUGGAAUUCCUAGUGUAGCGGUGAAAUGCGUAGAGAUUAGGAAGAACACCAGUGGCGAAGGCGAUUCUCUGGACUGUAACUGACGCUGAGGCUCGAAAGCGUGGGGAGCAAACAGG
rnacentral:rRNA from 1 species